CAGGACGAACGCUGGCGGCGUGCCUAAUACAUGCAAGUAGAACGCUGAAAUUGGUGCUUGCACCAAUGGGUGAGUUGCGAACGGGUGAGUAACGCGUAGGUAACCUGCCUGGUAGCGGGGGAUAACUAUUGGAAACGAUAGCUAAUACCGCAUAAUAGUUUUGGUCGCAUGACCGAGACUUGAAAGGAGCAACUGCUUCACUACCAGAUGGACCUGCGUUGUAUUAGCUAGUUGGUGAGGUAACGGCUCACCAAGGCGACGAUACAUAGCCGACCUGAGAGGGUGAUCGGCCACACUGGGACUGAGACACGGCCCAGACUCCUACGGGAGGCAGCAGUAGGGAAUCUUCGGCAAUGGGGGCAACCCUGACCGAGCAACGCCGCGUGAGUGAAGAAAGGUUUUCGGAUCGUAAAGCUCUGUUGUAAGUCAAGAAUAGGUGUGAGAGUGGAGAGUUCACACUAUGACGGUAGCUUACCAGAAAGGGACGGCUAACUACGUGCCAGCCGCUGC
rnacentral:rRNA from 1 species